rnacentral:rRNA from 1 species
UACGGAGGGGGCUAGCGUUGUUCGGAAUUACUGGGCGUAAAGCGCACGUAGGCGGCUUUGUAAGUUAGAGGUGAAAGCCCAGGGCUUAACCCUGGAAUUGCCUUUAAGACUGCAUCGCUAGAAUCGUGGAGAGGUGAGUGGAAUUCCGAGUGUAGAGGUGAAAUUCGUAGAUAUUCGGGAGAACACCAGUGGCGAAGGCGACUCACUGGACACGUAUUGACGCUGAGGUGCGAAAGCGUGGGGAGCAAACAGG